rnacentral:siRNA from 1 species
AGCAAUUUAAACAGGUGUCGCAUC